CUCCUUUCAAGACAGGUGCCUAGUGUGACAACAGGGUUAUGACCCUCCCUCUUUUCAGAACUGGUCAAAACUACUAGUUUGAAAGACACUCCUGUCAUCCUGUUCUUCAAAUCAAAGAUAAGGAAACUGAGGCACGGAGAGGGGACAACGAGUUGCUUAGGGAAAGUGGUACAUGGUACAGGACUGAAGCCAGAAACAUGGACCCUGAAGCUCUGGCAAUUUCCACAAACCACUGCAUGGAGGUGCACCCCAGGUUUAUGCCUAAAGAUGCACAAGGCUGAUGUUGCUGGAGUCAAAUUUACACAUUUCUGCAAUGGCGGGCAUCUCGUGUGCCAAUUAUUACCUAUUCCUUGGCCUUGGCUGCUGUCUGCUUUUGGCCAAAAUGCCUGAAACCCUGCCCAGGCUGCAGACUUCCGUCUCCACCUGCCUGAGACUUGGUCUUGAAGGCAUCUUCAGAGCUAGCUGCUACUCCCCUUCAGGGCAACGUUUGUUUUUUCUUUAUACACUGCCCCCCAAAUACAAUAAAACUGUAUCUUUAGUGCAAGCAACAUUAUAACAAGAGAUAUAUACAAGGAAAACAUGUAACAAGGAAAACAGUCACCUCCCCAUCUCUCCAACAUCAUUAGCAAUACAAUUCUCAUCUUUCAGGGUCAAGUUCUUGCCAAUAUGUAUACUUUUUGUGUAUUUCCUAAGAGGAGAAUGACCUGUGGUAUGGAGCAAAAUAUAAAUUAUUUACCAGUUAA